rnacentral:rRNA from 1 species
AUACGUAGGGGGCAAGCGUUGUCCGGAAUUACUGGGCGUAAAGCGCACGCAGGCUGACUUAUAAGUCGGUAGUCUAAUGCGGAGGCUCAACUUCCGUUUAUCUAUCGAUACUGUAAGACUAGAGUAUGUGAGAGGGAAGUGGAAUUCCCGGUGUAGCGGUGAAAUGCGCAGAUAUCGGGAGGAACACCAGUGGCGAAGGCGACUUCCUGGCACAAUACUGACGCUCAUGUGCGAAAGCUAGGGUAGCGAACGGGAUUAGAUACCCCGGUAGUCCUAGCCGUAAACGAUGGAUACUAGGUGUGGGUGUCGCAGGGCAUCCGUGCCGCAGCUAACGCGUUAAGUAUCCCGCCUGGGGACUACGGUCGCAAGACUGAAACUCAAAUGAAUUGACGGGG